rnacentral:rRNA from 1 species
AUUGAACGCUGGCGGCAUGCCUAACACAUGCAAGUCGAACGGUAACAGGCCCUUCGGGGUGCUGACGAGUGGCGGAUGGGUGAGUAAUACUUAGGAAUCUACCCUGUAGUGGGGGACGAACCCGGGGAAACGUCGGGCUAAUACCGCAUACGCUCUACGGAGGAAAGCGGGGACCGCAAGGCCUCGCGCUAUUGGAUGAGCCUAAGCCCGAUUAGCUAGUUGGUGGGGUAAUAGCCACCAAGGCAAUGAUCGGUAGCUGGUCUGAGAGGACGACCAGCCACACUGGGACUGAGACACGGCCCAGACUCCUACGGGAGGCAGCAGUGGGGAAUAUUGGACAAUGGGCGAAAGCCUGAUCCAGCGAUGCCGCGU